rnacentral:rRNA from 1 species
UACGUAGGGUGCGAGCGUUAAUCGGAAUUACUGGGCGUAAAGCGUGCGCAGGCGGCGCGUUAAGACAGGUGUGAAAGCCCCGAGCUUAACUUGGGAAUGCGCUUGUGACUGGCGUGCUGGAGUGUGGCAGAGGGAGGUGGAAUUCCACGUGUAGCAGUGAAAAUGCGUAGAGAUGCGGAGGAACACCGAUGGACGAAGGCAGCCCCCUGGGCCAAUACUGACGCUCAG